UACGGAGGGGGCUAGCGUUGUUCGGAAUUACUGGGCGUAAAGGGCGCGUAGGCGGUCCCUCAAGUCAGGGGUGAAAUCCCGGAGCUCAACUCCGGAACUGCCCUUGAAACUGCAGUGCUAGAAUCUUGGAGAGGCGAGUGGAAUUCCGAGUGUAGAGGUGAAAUUCGUAGAUAUUCGGAAGAACACCAGUGGCGAAGGCGACUCGCUGGACAAGUAUUGACGCUGAGGCACGAAAGCUAGGGGAGCAAACAGG
rnacentral:rRNA from 1 species